rnacentral:rRNA from 1 species
UACGUAGGGUGCAAGCGUUGUCCGGAAUUAUUGGGCGUAAAGAGCUCGUAGGCGGCUCGGUAAGUCGGGUGUGAAAACUCUAGGCUCAACCUAGAGACGCCACCUGAUACUGCUGUGGCUAGAGUCCGGUAGGGGAGCAUGGAAUUCCUGGUGUAGCGGUGAAAUGCGCAGAUAUCAGGAGGAACACCAGUGGCGAAGGCGGUGCUCUGGGCCGGUACUGACGCUGAGGAGCGAAAGCGUGGGGAGCAAACAGG